GAACCAAGGAUCUCAAGAGGGCUGUCAGACCAAAUGAAAUCAGCUGCUGAGUAAACUUUUCUGACAAUGGACUCUCCAUCUUCAUACCCAUCACGAUGCCGCUUCUGCUUUGUUCCUCGAAGGACAUCCACCACCUACAGCACAAUAUAAACAAAACACAAAUCAAAGUACAGCAGAAAAGCGGAAAAGUAGGGUUGUUGCAAAGAGG